rnacentral:tRNA from 1 species
GCCCUGGUGGCACAAUGGUUGAAUGCUCAGCUGCUAACUGAAAGGUUGAUGGUUCGAACCCACCCAGUGGCU